rnacentral:rRNA from 1 species
AUUGAACGCUGGCGGCAUGCUUUACACAUGCAAGUCGAACGGUAACAGGGUGCUUGCACCGCUGACGAGUGGCGAACGGGUGAGUAAUGCGUCGGAACGUGCCGAGUAGUGGGGGAUAACGCAGCGAAAGUUGUGCUAAUACCGCAUACGUACUGAGGUAGAAAGUGGGGGACCUUCGGGCCUCACGCUAUUCGAGCGGCCGACGUCUGAUUAGCUAGUAGGUGAGGUAAAGGCUCACCUAGGCGACGAUCAGUAGCGGGUCUGAGAGGAUGAUCCGCCACACUGGGACUGAGACACGGCCCAGACUCCUACGGGAGGCAGCAGCGGGGAAUUUUGGACAAUGGGCGAAAGCCUGAUCCAGCCAUGCCGCGUGUCUGAAGAAGGCCUUCGGGUUGUAAAGGACUUUUGUCAGGGAGGAAAUCCCUAGUGCUAAUAACACUGGGGGAUGACAGUACCUGAAGAAUAUGCACCGGCUAACUACGUGCCAGCCGCCGCGGUAA